UAAAUCACGUAUUAAAACUACUUAACUCAUUUUCCUUUUUUGCUUCAGCUAUGAAGACGCUAAAUUUACCCGGGCAUGGUGGCUCACGCCUAUAAUCCCAGCACUCAGGAGGCUGAGGCAGGAGGAUCAUUGUCUUGCUUCCAGGCCUUCGCUUCCCGUUCCUUCUGACAUCUCACUGCCCACCUGGAUUCCAAAC
rnacentral:lncRNA from 1 species